rnacentral:tRNA from 2 species
GGGCCCAUAGCUCAGUUGGCUAGAGCGUCGCAUUUGCAAUGCGGAGGUCGCCGGUCCGAGCCCGGCUGGGUCCACUA